rnacentral:lncRNA from 1 species
AGGCAAUAGGAGGUCAUUCAAUUUUUUUGAUUAGGAGAAUGACAAUUUUGGAACUAACUUGUGAAAGAUUGAUCUGUGAUGAUGGAUUCUGUGUAUUAGAAGGAGAACACUGGGGUUGGUAACUAGUUUGGAAUCUUUCAACAACAGAGACACUUCAGUUUUGUCUGGUGGAUUAGCUAGAGUGUUCCAGGAAGACGGGGAGUGGAGAGGACAUCAACACAGAGAGAAGAGGCAGGCUCUGAGGCAUGAAGUAGCAUGGUGUGUGUACAGACAAUCACUUGCAGUUGACCGUUUCACCAGGGUAAUGCACCAGGCAGGAAGGGGUAGACAUUGGUGCUGGACUUGAAGAGCCUGGGCGUCAGGAUAAGGAUUUUUGACUUAUUGCAGGUUUUGAAACAAUUGAGUACCUAAGAGGUUUUUACUAUAGAAAUAUAUCCAGUGGAAAUGAGCAGAAAGUUUUGCAAGACCUGCUUUAUACUUAGAAUAAAACAUUGAGAGACCAAAAUCAAAUUAGGAGGCUACUGCAACAAUAUAUGGAAAAAGUGAUGGAGACCUAGAUUAAGAAGUAAUGACAGGGAUAGAGAUCAUGGCAAGGUUUCGAGAAAAAGUAGGAAUUAGAAAAUAAAAGACAGAUGAUGAAUUAAAGGUAUAGAAGGGUGAAGGAGAUAGUGGAGUCAAGGAUGAAUAGCGUGAAUCCCAGGGUUCCAACUAGUCCAAAGGUAGUACCACACGCUGAGAAAUGGAAAACAAGAGGAGAAGGAGUUAGGAGAAGACAAUAAUGGAAUAAAUUUUAGGCACAUUGACUUUGAAGUGUUAGAGGGACUAGCAGGUGGAUUGGUUAGAGAGUGAUCUGGACCAGAGAUGUGGUUUUGCAAGUUGUCUGGGUCAAAGUGAAGACAUGAAAAUGGAUAAUAUUAUAGUGAGUGAGUGUGUUGAGAGAAAAGAGAUUUAGAUUGAGGGUGGAACUGUGGGGAAUACCCACAUUUAAGAGCCAAGUAGAGGGAGACAUACCGGCAACAGAGACCAAAAUUGAAUAGUCAGGGAUGUCAGAGGAGAACCACAAGAGCCUUUGCAUCACAGUGAAGUGUUUUAAAUAACUGAAAGUUAUAAAAAAUCAUGAAAGGGGUGAAGAGGGAGAAUUUCAAGGAGGAAUCGUACCACAAAUGCCAUUAAGAUUCAAAGCAGGUGAACACUUAAAAAUGACCAUCCAAUUAGACAGAUAAAAAGUCACAGGUAACUUCUCUGUGAGCUAUUUUGGCACAGCAGUGCAACUAAAAGCCAGAUUUCAUGGACUCAGAACUAAUGGGUCACAAUCAAUGACGCUAUUCCUUCAAACUUUCAGUUGUGAAAAGGAGGGAGAAAAAGAGUGGUAGCUAAAGAGAAUGUCAAGAUUGAGAUAUACAACUAAGAUAUACAACUGUGUACGGGAGGGGCGGGGUUGGGGAGAUAAAGCAGAAAAAAAAAAGAUUGAGGACAAUGUUAUUUUGUAUGUUUCUCUGCUUUAUAAGGAUGAGGGUGAU